CAAUAGCGUAUAUUAAAGUUGUUGCAGUUAAAAAGCUCGUAGUUGGAUUUCUGAAUCGAAUGUCCGGUCGGCUUACUAAGUAAGCUCGUACAGGCGAUAUUUGUUUCAUUUUUUGUGAGGAAAUUUAUCUGUCAUUAAGUUGAUGGGUUUACGGACUUGCAUCGUUUACUGUGAAAAAAUUAGAGUGUUUAAAGCAGGCGUUUGCCUUGAAUACAUUAGCAUGGAAUAAUAAGAUAUGACUUUGGUGGUCUAUUUUGUUGGUUUGCACACCAGAGUAAUGAUUAAUAGGGACAGUUGGGGGUAUUCAUAUUUCAGCGUCAGAGGUGAAAUUCUUAGAUCGCUGAAAGAUGAGCUUAGGCGAAAGCAUUUACCAAGGAUGUUUNCAUUAA
rnacentral:rRNA from 1 species